AAGUCGUAACAAGGUUUCCGUAGGUGAACCUGCGGAAGGAUCAUUAACACUUUUUCUUUGUUGGGUUUGCUUUGUUUGUUUCAAUAACAAAACACAACCCACAAAUUAUCCUAUCCAAACUGAAGAGCUUGUGAGCAAUGUGCUUUGCUUUUGUUUUCUUCAAUUCAAAAGCAAAGCUGGCUCCCAUUUUUCUCACUUUUUCCUUUUUUCCAAUUUUAACAAACCCAAUCACACAAAUCCCAAUUUGUGAGAUUGCAAACAAUCUUUUGCUAUCUUGACAAUUUCUAAACUUAAAACACAUAUUACAAAAAUGUAACCAAACAACUCUUAACAACGGAUAUCUUGGCUCUC
rnacentral:misc_RNA from 1 species